ensembl:lncRNA
GGGAGUGCCUGGGAAAUAACCAGAGAAAUGAUCCUCGACUCAUGUCAUACUGUAUUACUCUGCCAGCGGUUUUCAUGGAGUAGAGAACUCUUGAUUUGUUCUGUGUUUCCUUUUCCCUUUCGUUGGAGUCGGCAGUGUUUGUUUUGGAGCUGACAGCUGACGUUUUAGGAUUCCGGAAGCGAGCCCACCAGCAGUCAUGAAAUCUUAACCUGUAACAACAAAGUUACUUCAACACAGCAUUUAUACUACUGGCAACAAUGACAGUUAAAAACACGCUGGCAAGUUUAAGUGUAAACUUCUGUUUUAUUCUAGCCUCUCACGUACGGUUGAAAGGAUGAGACGUGGAAAGCAAAUAGUGAAAAAGAGGCUACAUAAACAGAGAGAGUGGGUGCUGGAAGAGCCAGAGAGGCUCAGGUUCAGGUCACCAAAUCAAAGAAUUCACACCCUGUCACCUCGGAAGCAUGAGUAAAGAAACCGAGCCUCCAGAUGACAGAGGAGCUAACUUCCACUUAAAUAUUUAUUUGUGUUUAGCGGAUACCCUCUGCUUCUUCCCAGGUGAGAUCUGGCGUGUGAGAUCCCCACUGCACGUCUUCACAUGACCUCUCUUCACUCAAGAUCUGUCUCAUAUUUUCCCGAGUUCGACCUGGAUCCAAUCACCAGAAGCCGGCAGAGCGGGUGCAGUGGCAGCGGUGCAGAAAAAGUGAACUGCCGAGGACCCCACUGUUUAGCAAACACUCCUACUGAGGGGAGGAAUUAAUUAUUCAGAGCCAAGGACCAAGGCAGCCCCAUUUGAUUGCACCACAAAAGAAAGGUCAGAGCUUUUCAUAUGAGGAACCUCCUGGUUGUGCAUCCUGUCAGCUGAGGAGACGUGUGUAGGAUAUAGGGCUGAAUGGCAGCUUGGCUAACGGCUCAAUUAAAGGGACACGAAUUUCUAGGUGAGUGUGUUCACCAGAUAUGUGGCAAACAACAGGUACAAUGCAGUUUCACUAAAAAAAAAAAAUGUGGAUGGGAUGGAGGAUAUGAUUAGCAGCAGAAGAGAAAUGGGUGAUUUUGCCAACUCUACAGGAGCUGAAGCUAGAGAGAAAGAAAUACGCCUAUUUUUUUAGGGAAAAAAGAAUGCUGCUGGUGAGAAUGAUUAAAAAGUUAUGACCACUGAAAUCAGUUUUUGUAUAAAUUUGAAAAAAAAAAAUCAUUUCAUUUUCCUUCUUUGCAAGUUAGCAAAUGAUCCAUUACCGUUUGAAUUGUUAAUAGGCAAUAAUGGACUUCACAUUUAAUUAAUAACAUAUUAUUUAAUUUUCUGCAAAAUGACCUUCUAAAGACUGAAUUAUUAGCUUUCAAAUACUGCAAAUACAGUGUGGACACUUGUGGCAAUUAAUUGAGUCGGUGAAAGUUUAGUGCCAGGCUCCCCAUAGUGUGAUCGUCUGCAUAAUCCGAACGAAUUUCACCAAGAAAGGCACGUGUUUUUUUUCCCCAGUCAUGGUAAAAUGCCUGAUUUUCAUCGAGUCCCUUCUCUCCACUCUAAAUUCACAAUGCUUAGCUCACCGAACAGACCAUGAAUAUAGCAGUGCCGCAAAAUCCAGCUACAGCAUCCUUGGGGUUUAUGGAGUAAAUCUGCUGUCAAAGUAGAAUACUGUUGAGGCCUCUUGGUCCGUUACUGUAGGUUAUAAUCUCUAAAAACUAUGGACUAGUGAGCCCCAGCAGGGUGGAGGAUGGAGCCA